rnacentral:rRNA from 1 species
CCCCUACGGGAGGCAGCAGUGGGGAAUAUUGGACAAUGGGGGGAACCCUGAUCCAGCGACGCCGCGUGAGUGAAGAAGUAUUUCGGUAUGUAAAGCUCUAUCAGCAGGGAAGAAAGAAAUGACGGUACCUGACUAAGAAGCCCCGGCUAACUACGUGCCAGCAGCCGCGGUAAUACGUAGGGGGCAAGCGUUAUCCGGAUUUACUGGGUGUAAAGGGAGCGUAGACGGCGAUGCAAGUCUGAAGUGAAAAGCGGGGGCCCAACCCCCGGACGGCUUUGGAGACUGGAU